rnacentral:rRNA from 1 species
UACGUAGGGUGCGAGCGUUGUCCGGAAUUAUUGGGCGUAAAGAGCUCGUAGGCGGCCUGUCGCGUCGGUUGUGAAAGCCCGGGGCUUAACCCCGGGUCUGCAGUCGAUACGGGCAGGCUAGAGUUCGGUAGGGGAGAUCGGAAUUCCUGGUGUAGCGGUGAAAUGCGCAGAUAUCAGGAGGAACACCGGUGGCGAAGGCGGCAUCCUGGACCAAUUCUGACGCUGAGGAGCGAAAGCCAGGGGAGCAAACGGG